AGCGCGGAUCCGGCGGGGAGCAGGACUGGGCCUACGACCAGGCGGAGGACGGCGGGCGCAGCCACCUCCCCCCAGCGGCAGGGGGCAGCGCCACAGACCCCUUCCCCAAGGAGGACCCGGCCGACGGCUACGAUGACGCCGGGGUUCCCGACCCUGCGCUGAGCGAUGCGGUGGCCCCGGAACCCCCCGCGGACGUCCCUGGGGGCGGGGUCCCCCCGACAGGUCGGACUUUGCCAUCCCGAGUGGAGGCCGAGGGCCCUGGGGCGGGGACAGGUGACCGGUCGCUGGCCCCCGAGGACCCGGGCUACGACGAUGCCGAACUCUGUGUCCUGGACGUCCCCGAGAGAGCGGCCGAGCCCCGAGACCAGCUCCUGGGACGCUGACCCUGCCGCCCGGCUGGGCUGGGGUCGCGAUUGUCGUUGCCCCCCCCCCCCCCACCUACCGAGACUUACCGCCCCCAGGACAGGAGCCCCGACCCGGUGGAUCUCCCUUUCCAUCUGGUUCUGGGAAACUGCCUUGCCCAGAAUUGUGCAGACACCUUUAGACAUCGGCAUUUACCAUUUUUUCCAUUAAAUACGUCUCCCCGAG